UACGUAGGGGGCAAGCGUUAUCCGGAUUUACUGGGUGUAAAGGGAGCGUAGGCGGCGAUGCAAGUCAGAAGUGAAGGCCCGGGGCUCAACUCCGGGACUGCUUUUGAAACUGUGUUGCUAGAUUGCAGGAGAGGUAAGUGGAAUUCCUAGUGUAGCGGUGAAAUGCGUAGAUAUUAGGAGGAACACCAGUGGCGAAGGCGGCUUACUGGACUGUAAAUGACGCUGAGGCUCGAAAGCGUGGGGAGCAAACAGG
rnacentral:rRNA from 1 species